UGGGGAAUUUUGGACAAUGGGGGCAACCCUGAUCCAGCCAUGCCGCGUGAGUGAAGAAGGCCUUCGGGUUGUAAAGCUCUUUCGGUUGGGAAGAAAUUGCACUGGUUAAUACCUGGUGUAGAUGACGGUACCAGCAUAAGAAGCACCGGCUAACUACGUGCCAGCAGCCGCGGUAAUACGUAGGGUGCGAGCGUUAAUCGGAAUUACUGGGCGUAAAGCGUGCGCAGGCGGUUUUGUAAGUCAGAUGUGAAAUCCCCGGGCUCAACCUGGGAACUGCAUUUGAGACUGCAAGGCUAGAGUGUGGCAGAGGGGGGUGGAAUUCCACGUGUAGCAGUGAAAUGCGUAGAGAUGUGGAGGAACACCGAUGGCGAAGGCAGCCCCCUGGGCCAAUACUGACGCUCAUGCACGAAAGCGUGGGGAGCAAACAGG
rnacentral:rRNA from 1 species